rnacentral:rRNA from 1 species
AAAUUGAAGAGUUUGAUCAUGGCUCAGAUUGAACGCUGGCGGCAGGCCUAACACAUGCAAGUCGAACGGUAACAGGAAGCAGCUUGCUGCUUCGCUGACGAGUGGCGGACGGGUGAGUAAUGUCUGGGAAACUGCCUGAUGGAGGGGGAUAACUACUGGAAACGGUAGCUAAUACCGCAUAACGUCGCAAGACCAAAGAGGGGGACCUUCGGGCCUCUUGCCAUCGGAUGUGCCCAGAUGGGAUUAGCUAGUAGGUGGGGUAACGGCUCACCUAGGCGACGAUCCCUAGCUGGUCUGAGAGGAUGACCAGCCACACUGGAACUG